GUUAUUAUAAGGAGGCAAUUGAAGGUGAGAAUAUCAUAUUUUUUAUGUAUUUUCUGCCUGUUAAAUAGAUGUUUCCCCAUUUAUUAUCUUGUAAUCUAUGUUGGCUGUUUUGGAUCUUGCCAAAACGAAAUAGGGAGAAUGCUUUGCAGUACUUAAUUUCAGGUUAACUUGACAAUUGGGAUUUGGGAUGGUUCAGAUGGAAAAUGAUUACCCAUUUCUUGCUGCAAAAUGUUAUCUCAAGACAGCAUAUUUUGCAGUGAGAAAUGGGUUUUGGAAUUUAAAUUGUAUAAUCAUUGUUAAUCUCGGAAGGAACAUGAUAUUAGAGAAGAGUUCAAAUUGGUUGAAAAAGUUCUUUGCCCUUAAGCCAGCACUUUUUUUACUCAAAAUGUUUAACUUUUUGGGUUAUCUUAGUCUUAAUCGAAUGUUAUUUGUAGUAGUGAUUCGAAAAGUUGGUUAAAAACUUGCUCAGUUAUUUUCUUUAGCACUAUUUUUUCUUUUUUCAAAAGAUAAACUGAAGUGUUUAUACAUUCUGUAAUGUUAUUAAUAAAACAUGAAAAGGAAACUUAUAUAUUAUUAUUGUUGUUGUUGUUGU
rnacentral:misc_RNA from 1 species